AAAUAUAAUACGUGUGUCAACAUUGAUUUGAACUCGACCGUUAAAAACACAAUUUAUGUUCCGUGUGCAUGCAAGCUGAUCUUUGCCUUCAAUAAUUAAUAUAUUGCGCUACGUAGCAGACACAAAAGAGCUGUACAUAUUCUUAUGCAUCGAAUUUUUAUCGAAAAUAUAUAAAAUACAUCAUGGUGCGCGGUAAAAGAGCUCGAUAUUUUAGUUAUUUUCAAGAUAAUGAACCGAAUGCCAAAAUUCCAAGGCAAACUAAAUUCAAUCGUCGAAAUCGUGGGAAAAAGCAAUUGCAUAGUUUCAAAUCCACAACGAAUAUUUCUUCAACGCCUGGUGUAACUGAAAAUUUAAUGGAUUUAUCAAUUGUGACUAAUAACGAUUCACAAAUUCAAAAUGCCACGUCACAUAAUUUUGAAGAAACAUGCUCGUUUAUUGAUACCUCAGACUCUCAAAUGGCAAUGAACAUGUCGGCCGUGAAUGAUGAAAGUGUUAUAGCAAACGAAAGCAUUUGGUCCAACGAUUCGGUGUCGCCUAUUGAACAAUUUAAUCAUGAAGAAAAUGAAUUUGAAAUGUACCCGGAAUAUUCAAAAAAAAUUCAUGAUAGUUUGAAUUGUACAGUAAGCGAUGCAUAUACCAUGAUUUACGCAUAUUCAGUUCGUCAUACUCUUAACUGGACUCAAACUGAAGAUUUGGCCCGGCUGAUUAAUUCAGUCAUUGGUAAAGAGUCACUCAAUCCAUCAAAAUACACAUUUAAAAAAAUGUUUAAAUCGACUGAAACCAAGACAAGUGUACAUUUUUUUUUUGUCAUGUAUGUGAAAAAUAUUUAGGUGUUAAGGGACAGUUCAAAGAAACAGUGUGUACAAAAUGCGAUAGUGACAUACACACGGAUACAAAAUAUGAAAAAAAUCACUUUGUGUCAAUAUCCAUUGAAAAUCAUUUAAAAAAUGUGCUUGAACAAAAUUCACUGCAUUUAUUGUUCGAUACGAAAUCCACUUCGGAGGAUAUAUGUGAUGUACAUGAUUCGAAAAAUUUUCAGCGAUUGAAACGUGAAAUGGGAGAUGAUCCUUACAUAACAUUGACAUUAUAUACGGAUGGUGCUGCUGUAUUUAAGUCCACAAAAAAUAAAUCACUUUGGCCUAUUUGCCUUUAUGUUCAUGAAAUCGAUCUUAAUUACCGUUUCAAGCGAGAGAAUAUUUUAUGUUCUGCAAUAUCUUUCGGAAAAAAACCGAAUAUGCAAGUGUUUUUCAGACCAUUGAUUGAAGAAAUAAAUGCAAUAAAUCGUAGAGGUGGAAUAAAUGUUCGUGAUAAAAAUGAACAGUUAAGAGUAGUUAAAGUGGUUCCGAUGAUAUUCACCGCUGAUGCAUUAGCUAAGGCUGAUGUUUUAAAUUUAAUGCAACACAAUGGCCAUUAUGGUUGUCCAUAUUGUUUGCAUUGUGGAACAAAUAUAGAAGGAACAACACAAAUCCGGUAUUGUAAGAGAAACAAUGCACCUGACAGAAAAAGCAAUGUUGUAAGAGUGGACAUGGUUCGCGCUCACGAAUUGGGAACAUGUAUCAACGGAUACAAAGGUCUUUCACCUCUCCUUGCACUCAAUUAUAACUUCGAUAUUGUUUGGCAAGUAGUCAUCGAUAAGAUGCAUUGUGUAGACAUGGGCGUAAUCAAGAAAAUGUUUGACAUGUUUUUGAACUUCAAAUAUCGCGAAGAAAGGUAUGCGUUGUGCAUAUAAAAGGAUUAUUUUGGAUCACUUCAAUUAAUAAAUUUUAUUUCGUUUUUUUAUCGGUGAUCGAUUACAUAUUCUAGAUAGAAGAAUGAAAGAAAUUCGAAUGCCUCGACUGAUAAGGAGAAAUUUUCGACCACUUUCACAUCGCGAGUAUUUUCAUGCUUAUGAGUGGAAAUUUAUUUUACUCUUUGUUGCCUACCCUCUUUUGAAGGGAGUGCUACCUGAUCGGAAUUUUGAACACUUGGGGAAAUUAGUUGACGCUAUGCAUAUUCUGAACAGCACACGCAUAAGUGAACGGAAAAGAAAGAAGGCAACUAAACUAUUAAAUUCAUUCGUUGACGAAUUCGAAGAUCUCUAUGGAGAAAUAAAUAUGGUUUACAAUGUUCAUCAGCUCAAACACUUGACUGAAUGUGUGAACCGAAAUGGACCACUCUUUGCAUACUCAAAUUACCCAAUGGAAGAUUUCAUAGGUCAUUUAGUAUCUUUCGUAAAAGCGCCAACAGAUGUAACAACUCAAGUUAGCUCACGAUACAUUUUGGAAAAAAAUUUGCUUGUUCACUUACACAAAUCAGAAAAAGCGCGCGAUUUUUAUGAUAAAAUUGAAAGUAAAUUAUCUUCUCCCAUUGUUCGAAAAGUAAAUGAGUCGUUAGCUAUUGGCAAAGCAAAAGUAUUGUCGGAUUUGAGCGUUCAAGAAAUGUCAUUCAUUAGAAACUUUUUGAGAAUCGAUGAAUCCAGUGUGUCCAUAACAUAUAGAAAUAGCACUAAAUAGUGUCGAUAUCUAUACUAUAUCGGGGCACUAUAUAUGUAAGAUAUUCCGCAAGACACCGUAGCUCACGAACGAAGUGAGUGCGGACAGCAAACAUGUUGACGCAUACACACAGUUUAUUCUACUGCCGCACGGAAAUUUGUGAUUUUUUCCGUCUACACUGACUUCGAUCGUGCGAUACGGUGCCGUGCGGCAAUAUCUUUCAUAUAUAGUGGACCGAUAUAGUAUAGAUAUCGACACUAUUUAGUGAUAUUUCUAUAUAUUAUGGACACACUGGAUGAAUCCAUUCAAAUUUAUGAGUAUAGUGCAUCCUUUUUAUGUAAUCAAACGUAUUAUGAGACUUCUUCUAAUAAUUUACGUAAGCGUACUAAUGAUUCAAUUUUAUUUAAUGCCGGCAGUAAUUGUUUUGCUGAAAUUAGAGCUAUUGUAGUAGUUGAUGACCAAUUAUAUUUUUUAAUUGACGAAAAAUUUUCAAAA